GUAGGUGAACCUGCGGAAGGAUCAUUAACACGUAUCCAUACGUAUCAAACCAAACCAACCUGUGAACCAACCCCGCCCUGUUGUUGCGGUGACUCGUGCUAGUCUGUCAGCAUCCAUGGAGUUCGUGUGUUCUGCUCUUCACGAGUGGUUCCCCCGAUCGAUGGUGACAGGCGUCUGGCUGUGACUUCGGUCACAGUCGGGUGCAUUCCACAACAGCAGGCUUUUCUACCAUCUCCUGAACUAUACCUACCCAGACCAUUUUCACAUGGGGGCUGGAUGGGACAAGCCAGGAGGUACCAAAAACCUAUUUCACCCCUUCUAAACUAUUUGACUGAUCUAUAUUCACGUGGCAGGUGCUCGCUUGCGAGUAACCACCUCUGAUGAAUACUAAGUUUAUCUAAACUAAGCACAACUCUUAGCAAUGGAUAUCUUGGUUCUC
rnacentral:misc_RNA from 1 species